UACGAAGGGGGCUAGCGUUGCUCGGAAUUACUGGGCGUAAAGCGCACGUAGGCGGUCUUUUAAGUCGGGGGGUGAAAUCCUGGAGCUCAACUCCAGAACUGCCUUCGAUACUGGAAGACUUGAGUCCGGGAGAGGUGAGUGGAACUGCGAGUGUAGAGGUGAAAUUCGUAGAUAUUCGCAAGAACACCAGUGGCGAAGGCGGCUCACUGGCCCGAAACUGACACUGAGAGACGAAAGCUAGGGGAGCGAAUGGG
rnacentral:rRNA from 1 species